rnacentral:rRNA from 1 species
UACGGAGGAUGCGAGCGUUAUCCGGAUUUAUUGGGUUUAAAGGGUGCGUAGGCGGACAGUUAAGUCAGCGGUAAAAGCCCGGGGCUCAACCCCGGCGAGCCGUUGAAACUGGCAGUCUUGAGUAGGACAGAAGUAUGCGGAAUGCGCCGUGUAGAGGUGAAAUUCAUAGAUAUGGCGCAGAACACCGAUUGCGAAGGCAGCAUACCGGGUCCUUACUGACGCUGAGGCACGAAAGCGUGGGUAUCGAACAGG